AACGAACGCUGGCGGCAUGCCUAACACAUGCAAGUCGAACGAGACCUUCGGGUCUAGUGGCGCACGGGUGCGUAACGCGUGGGAACCUGCCCUUAGGUUCGGAAUAACUCCCCGAAAGGGGUGCUAAUACCGGAUAAUGUCUUCGGACCAAAGAUUUAUCGCCUUUGGAUGGGCCCGCGUUGGAUUAGCUAGUUGGUAGGGUAAAAGCCUACCAAGGCGACGAUCCAUAGCUGGUCUGAGAGGAUGAUCAGCCACACUGGGGCUGAGACACGGCCCAGACUCCGACGGGAGGCAGCAGUGGGGAAUAUUGGACAAUGGGCGAAAGCCUGAUCCAGCAAUGCCGCGUGAGUGAUGAAGGCCUUAGGGUUGUAAAGCUCUUUUACCCGGGAUGAUAAUGACGGUACCGGGAGAAUAAGCUCCGGCUAACUACGUG
rnacentral:rRNA from 1 species